UGGCAGGAUCCUGGAGGCAGGAACUGAAGCACAGACCAAGAAAAAACAUUGCUUACUGGUUUGCCCCUCAUAGCUCACUCAACUCAUUUGCUUUCUCAUUUAUCCCAUAUCCACCUGCCCAGGGAUGAUACCAGCCACAGUGGGACCACCCAUAUCAACCAUCAAUCAAUACAGUGCUCCACUUUCCCACAGGUGAGUCUUACAGAGGCAUUUUCUCAUUUGAGAGUCAUCUUUCCACAUGAUUCUAGCAUGUGUCAAGUUGAAAAGAAUAAGAACCAGGGCACCUGCAGUGUACAGUGUUCAUUGAGUUAGCUGUGGAAGUAAUACUCUCUAUUCCCCUCAUCCCAGACUCUAACACAGAGGGGUCAGGCCAGAGAGCUCCUGAGAUUCUUUCAAAUCCUACCAUUCAUGUACAGAGGCAAAGGUAACCAUUACCUUCAAUACUGAAAUCUUUCCACAAGACCCUGAAGCUUAGAGUAUAUCCACAGUCUUUGCAGUUGCACUAGAAAUGAUAUGGUGUCCAGUGAUGUGCCCAACUGCAGAGCAACCCUGUGCACCUUCUACAAGUUGGAGACUGGACUCCUUCCUCUAUGCUGGUCCAAGAUCUGGAAUGUGACAACUGUUAAGGUGUCCCAGGUCAACCUUGGCAUGCUAAGGAAGGAGCUUGUCCUGGAAGAUGACUGCUUGGGAGGAACGCAUCCGAGUGAUGUCCCUCUGUCUAGUGCAUCGUGUCUGCCAGUGGGAUGUUGUUUGCAAUAG
rnacentral:lncRNA from 1 species